UAACGGUCCUAAGGUAGCGAAAUUCCUUGUCGGGUAAGUUCCGACCCGCACGAAAGGCGUAACGAUUUGGGCACUGUCUCAACGAGAGACUCGGUGAAAUCAUAGUACCUGUGAAGAUGCAGGUUACCCGCGACAGGACGGAAAGACCCCGUGGAGCUUUACUGUAGCCUGAUAUUGAAAUUCGGCACAGCUUGUACAGGAUAGGUAGGAGCCUUUGAAACGUGAGCGCUAGCUUACGUGGAGGCGCUGGUGGGAUACUACCCUAGCUGUGUUGGCUUUCUAACCCGCACCACUUAUCGUGGUGGGAGACAGUGUCAGGCGGGCAGUUUGACUGGGGCGGUCGCCUCCUAAAAGGUAACGGAGGCGCUCAAAGGUUCCCUCAGAAUGGUUGGAAAUCAUUCAUAGAGUGUAAAGGCAUAAGGGAGCUUGACUGCGAGACCUACAAGUCGAGCAGGGUCGAAAGACGGACUUAGUGAUCCGGUGGUUCCGCAUGGAAGGGCCAUCGCUCAACGGAUAAAAGCUACCCCGGGGAUAACAGGCUUAUCUCCCCCAAGAGUUCACAUCGACGGGGAGGUUUGGCACCUCGAUGUCGGCUCAUCGCAUCCUGGGGCUGUAGUCGGUCCCAAGGGUUGGGCUGUUCGCCCAUUAAAGCGGUACGCGAGCUGGGUUCAGAACGUCGUGAGACAGUUCGGUCCCUAUCCGUCGUGGGCGUAGGAAAUUUGAGAGGAGCUGUCCUUAGUACGAGAGGACCGGGAUGGACAUACCUCUGGUGUACCAGUUGUCGUGCCAACGGCAUAGCUGGGUAGCUAUGUGUGGACGGGAUAAGUGCUGAAAGCAUCUAAGCAUGAAGCCCCCCUCAAGAUGAGAUUUCCCAACUUCGGUUAUAAGAUCCCUCAAAGAUGAUGAGGUUAAUAGGUUCGAGGUGGAAGCAUGGUGACAUGUGGAGCUGACGAAUACUAAUCGAUCGAAGACUUAAUCAA
rnacentral:rRNA from 1 species